AAUUUUUGAAAUUCUAAGAAACACAAAAUGAGGCAUUUCUCAAAAUCAUUCUGUUACAAUACUUCCCUCACUUGCCUCCUAACACGUAAAACACGUUUGUUUUCUCUUCGAUGACCGUCCUUCAUGUUCAUUCAUGGUUUUGGUCCAUUAUGUUUCAAAAUUUACCACGCUCAUCACCAAAGGUUGGGCCAAUCAACCAUAAAGGGUACCAAAUGCUGGGAUAUAUAAAACCCAUCUGGUUGACACAAACGACAACCAAAUUAACAGUUGCAAGUUCCACACCACAUCAAAAAUGCGCCAUUUUGUUAUUUUUGCCGUGCUGGUGGUAGCUGUAGCUAUGGCAGUUCCUGCCCGUAACUUCCGAGGGAGUAGUCUUCAAGGUAAAACUGACAAUCGUCAACAACAACAAGCACAAUCUCCUGAAAGUGAGACUGAAGGAUCGGAAUCGGGAGAUUCAUCUUCGGCAGAUAAGGCGAAUGAAUGUCGCACCCUGCUGCAACAAGCCGGUGGAUCUGGCGAUGCUGAAAAAUCCUCCGAAGGACAACCUGAAAAUGAAUCUGAAGAACCAAAGGAGGCGGACGGUGGUAUGAAUGCAGGGGCUGGGAAACGUAAUGCUAGGAAAUUUUAAUUAACAUGGUUUGUUUUAUUAUCAUUGCAAUAUUAUACCAUAUUUAAGUUAGGUAGUUUUGUUGUUAUGGUACUGUAUUUACUGACUCAUUGUAUAAAGGUUAUGCGUCAUAAACGAUGAUAAAAAAGUCUUUGUUUCUGGUUGCCUAAACUUGAAUCAUUGUCCUUUUGCAUAGAUAGGGCCGUAAUUUUCAUUAUGGUAUUUGUAUAAAAGGAAGAGAAAGUGUACAAAAACAGUAUUAAGUGAAAAGCAACAACAUAAACGUUUAGUUUUGAAUUUGGAGAUCAUUGGCAUUAUGAAGGUGAUCACAAUAAUAACUCUUCUGGUUGUUGUUUUCGUCACUGGGAGUCAGGCGGAUGCAACAGUAAGUAAAAUAUCUGGAAAACUUAAACACUCAAACAGUGAACAAGAAACAGGACCCUAUUUUGUGCGGGGAACAAAUGAAUAUUUUGCCGAAUCAUACCCAAACUAUGGUGGAGGCGACGGUUUAAGAAAUCAGUAUUGCUAUUGCUACCCUCGCAGAAUUCCACUAUUUCCAUAUUCGAAUGGACCCCACUUUUCUCGGGAUUUCAAGAACAGGGAAGAAUAAAGAUUAAUGUCUUUAUUUUAAAACUAUAUCUAUAAUAGUAAUGAUAUUAUACCAGUGACAUAGUUGAUGAAUGUAUAUGCAACUAAUUAUACACUUUAGUAUUACCAAUACUUUAUAAAUAUACUGAAAGAACAAUAAAAUAAUAGUAUCAAAAUUA